UACGGGGGGGGCAAGCGUUGUUCGGAAUUACUGGGCGUAAAGGGCUCGUAGGCGGCCAACUAAGUCGGAUGUGAAAUCCCCAGGCUCAACUUGGGAACUGCAUCCGAUACUGGAUGGCUUGAAUUCGGGAGAGGGAUGCAGAAUUCCAGGUGUAGCGGUGAAAUGCGUAGAUAUCUGGAGGAACACCAGAGGCGAAGGCGGCUACCUGGACAAUUGCUGACGCUCAGGCACGAAAGCGUGGGGAGCAAAAGGG
rnacentral:rRNA from 1 species